AUUGAACGCUGGCGGCAUGCCUUACACAUGCAAGUCGAACGGCAGCACGGGUGCUUGCUCCUGGUGGCGAGUGGCGAACGGGUGAGUAAUACAUCGGAACAUGUCCUGUAGUGGGGGAUAGCCCGGCGAAAGCCGGAUUAAUACCGCAUACGAUCUACGGAUGAAAGCGGGGGACCUUCGGGCCUCGCGCUAUAGGGUUGGCCGAUGGCUGAUUAGCUAGUUGGUGGGGUAAAGGCCUACCAAGGCGACGAUCAGUAGCUGGUCUGAGAGGACGACCAGCCACACUGGGACUGAGACACGGCCCAGACUCCUACGGGAGGCAGCAGUGGGGAAUUUUGGACAAUGGGCGAAAGCCUGAUCCAGCAAUGCCGCGUGCGUGAAGAAGGCCUUCGGGUUGUAAAGCACUUUUGUCCGGAAAGAAAGCCUUGGCCCUAAUACGGUCGGGGGAUGACGGUACCGGAAGAAUAAGCACCGGCUAACUACGUG
rnacentral:rRNA from 1 species